GUGUAAAACCACAGCAUGCACUGAAACCAAGCAUCUAAACACAGAGGUGAAAGAUGUUUAUCAUGGGAAACACAGGCUGCCAUUCAGGUGUGGAAUGUUUACGCGUCACACACAGAAGUACAUUAGUCAAGAUCACAACAACUUAAGUUGCAGAAAACAGCUCCCGUGAUCAUCAGCCCACAACAUUACCACAUGACUUGUAGUCAAGUUCACAGUGACCUGAUUACUGAAGUCUUCACUGCUAACACGGACACAGCAGGCUUCAGUGAAUCAACUCUGUUGAAGGUUGUGUAACCAGUGAACAGCAACAACAAAAAUUGGCUAUACACAUAACGGUAAAUAGCUUUUCCAGGUAAAAAAGGAACCAACCCACAUUUCACAAUUUUCCCAGAUUUCGCAGACUUGUCCCACAAAAUUACUGAGUUGGCUUACUGGCCAUUCACCUACACAAACUUUUUGACCUGUCAGCUCAGGAACAGCACCCCCCUACCUCAACACUCUCUUGAAGGCUUACAUUCCCUCACGCAAUCUGCAAUCGAUUAACAACCGGCACUUAGUAGUGCCUUCUCUGUGUGGCUCAAGGUUACUUUCCAGAACCUUCACACUAACUGUCCCUCAGUGGUGAAAUGAACUUCCAACCCCACUCCGGACUGCAGAAUCUGUCACUAUCUUCAAAAAACAGCUAAAGACUUAUCUCUUCCGUGAGCAUGUAACUAACCCCUAAAAUGCUAACCCCACAUUAUCCUUUAAAAAAAAAAAAGAAAUUUACACUAGCUCUUACACCCCUAUUCUGCGCACUUUGCGUUUCUAGAACUCAAUUAAAAGAUCUUGCAUGUUAGCACUGCUUGUAUUGUUCUCCACUUGAUAUAUAUCGCUUUGCUUGUAUUUCCUCAUUUGUAAGUUAUUUUGGAUAAAUGCAUCUGCUAAAUGAAUAAAUGUAAAUGUAAGCUGUCACAGGUUAACUCAGGGGUUCCCAAACUUUUCCAUGGCAAGGCCCCCCAGAUGGCAUUAAAAUUUGACCAAGGCCUUCCUUUUGCAAGAUGUCUUUAAAACAUAUUAAAAAUACAGACUUCUGAAUAUAUCCCCCCUUUUUUAUUAUUAAUAAUUACAUCUUACAUCUUUACAUUACAAUACAUUAGGAAUUGAUUUUGUGUGUGUGUGUGUGUGUGUGUGUGUGUGUGUGGUUGUCUGAGAGUGAGAAAUAGAAAACAUACAUUUAUUUAUUUUUCACACCAAAUUGUUGAGGCCCUCCGCAUGCCCCCUGACGGCCCCCACUUUGAAAACCACUGGGUUAACUAAGUUAACAGCCAAAGAAUGUAAGUAUCAUCUGGAGCAAGGUGUCUGCUUCUACUGUGGAGAGACAACCCACUGUGUCUCAACAAUUCAGAUGUUAAACAACCACAUGAUAAUGUGGUGUGUAUGCUUUGUAUUGCAUUAUUUCACCCAAAUCACUCUGAAUUUCUGUCUUGCUCAAGCAUUCACAUACUCCCUGUCCUCUUGCAGCACACACUUGCACUGAAGUGGCUGACAACUUCAUAAAUCUCAACACAAUUCACCCACUAAAGGUUCAAGUCUUCAUCCAUAAAUACAUUACUGUGACCUGGACCAAAUGACAGCAAAAUAUAGAUACCCAUAGCCUCUUCUGCCCUUAGAUCUGAAAGAGCUCAACAGCCAGCAUCUUCAAGAAAACCCCAACCGAGUUCGCAUCAGAGCAGAUAAGGAAUGAAAGACAGCAUUCAGCAUAACCCCCAGGUCACUAUGAAUAACUGGUAAUGCCAUUCAGAUUGCUCAAUACCCCCUGUCUCUUCCAGGCAUUUAUUAAUGCUGUGCUCGGAGACAUAUUUGGAAAAUUUAGGCCAUUGCCUAAAAUGAUGAUAUUUUAAUUUAUCCCAUUUCCAUAACUCAAAUCCAGGACUACAUCAUCAGUCAAGAGGAUGCUGACACUGACAAUGCCAAGGUCCAAGUAGUAGCAGAGUGGCCCACAGAGAUUCCUAGGGUUUUAGAAACUUCAGCGUCAUUGUAAACCAUCUCACAUCACUCCUUAAGAAAGGAUUAAAUAUACCACUCUAGAACACCAAAGCAGAUUAUACAUUCAAUACCACUACCUGCAAACAACUUCAAACCUCAAAUGGGACUUUUUCUUUAGAUGCGGCCAAGUUUGACUUGUUGAAAACAUGUUGAUAGUGUGCAUGGCCAAGAACAUUUUUGAUCUUAUAACUAUUUCAUUGUAAUUGUAGUUCCAAUGAUGCGUGGCAAAGUUCAGGGACUGUAUUUUGUGGGAUGGUCCGAGGAGACAAUUCUUUCUUGCAACCCUUCCAAAUGAUCUCAGCAUGUCUAAUAGUUGAUUUUGAGACAUUGAUUUCCUCUAUCAUCUUCCCCACUGUCAGGAGGGCAGUAUGUUUUUCUGAAUAGUUUUCAACUGUACCAAGCUCAUGGCCAUGGUUGUACUGAAUUUGUAACUGCUUAUAGCUAUAUUUUUUUAUAUCCAUUAAAUGGCUUGUGCAGGACAAGUUUUGUGUUGAAAGCUUGUUGGAUCUCCCUAUGGUGAUGAUAAAGGAUUAAAAAGGGAUUUUAAAUAUGUGCAAUUUUACAUGGUGUCCCAAAAGUCUCCAUACAUAGGGGACUAUGUAUGCCAGCACCAUGUCGGCUGUACCUUUGCCAUGGAUGUUUGAGGAUGUCCAGUUCUUUUUGAAAUUUGUUAAUACGUUUAGCAACAGUGUUGUGUGAGAUGUGCUUCCUGUUAAAGUCCAUCGCAACCCUGCAACAGCUUCCCGAUCCAGCCAUGAGAAUGAUUUCAAUAUGUUCUUCUUUUGUCAAAGGCAUUCUGAAAGGCUAUCUGAAAAAUACAUACAUUUUUAUACAUAUAAGUAUGUGCUAAAAUGUUGGAAGACAUUUUUUUUUUUUUUACUUUUUAGUCAGUACACGUAGAUGACCACCUGUGCACACAGCCACUUAGUCACUUGUGCUUUAUUUGUCAGUUAAAAAAACAUGCAUUGCUUCCAGGUAAUAGCUGCUAAAGAGGUGCAUACACCCUCCCUCACUAUGAACACAAUUCAUUAGAACCUGUGGUCCAAUAUUCAGUAAAUUUCUACAUAGUGGUCACAUACCAGCUUAUUCAUGCCAACCACACAUAUGAGACAGCUGCUCUAAAAAAAGCUGUGGCUGUGCAUUUCUGACCACUUGGCAUAAGCUGAUGUCAGGGAAAAGUCCUGUAUCAAACUUACACUGGUCAUAUGUGGUUUUCAUUCUGUUUUUGUAAAAAGAAAAAAUCCCCUAAAACACAUUUGUCUUGUGUUAAACAGCACUACACUUACGUCAUAUAAACACAGAGCAUAAUAGGAAGGGAUUUUCACUGACCGUGUUUAUUAACAAUGUUCACAAUACAUGUAUUACAUAUCAAAAGGAGGAAGGAUAUGCAUUUUGGACAAAUACAACAGACCUUGGAUGGUCUUAUUAUGUCUUGUAUAGCUCAAAAAUCCCUAGAAGUCUAUUUUCCACAUUAAAUUCAAUUGCAUACUGUAACAUAGAAACAAAAAAAUUACUAAAAUAUUUUAAAUAUGGGUCUAAAUGCAACCGUCCUGUUAAUGUCAUCAUGGCCAUUUAUGAAUGUUGACAUGCCUUAGAAAAUUACUUUUGUAUCUGUAGUUAAUUAUACAGCCAUUAAUUAUUUUAAUACAAACCAAUGUGCCAAAUAUAAUAUAAAGUCUCAUGGGAGUACUUUUUUCCUUGCCUGAUGCUUAUUUGCAAAGUUAAGCGAAGUGUUUGUGUGCAUUCAGAAUCUGAGUGGGAUUUGGUCUAAAUGAGAAGGGUAGGGCAUAUUCUGCUGCUGUGGUUCUUUUAUAGCCCAACUUCCCUGCCUGCAGUUUUUAAAGAAUAAUUUUAAUGCAUGAAAGGGUGGUUUUUAAAGAAAUGAAGCUGCAGGCAAUAACUUUUCCUCACUAUUUUUAGAAUUGAACCCCUAAAACUGAAGUGUAUAGAUAAAUUCUUAAGGCCCAUAACCAAGGUAAAUCCAACAAACCAUCCUGGACUUUUGUUAUGUAAGCAAACAGCAGCUAGGCCACACUGCCUCUGGAUUGUCUCAUCUAAAAUGUGUAAAAUGUGGUCAGCCAAUACCCUCAUCUUGUAUACUUUGCACGUUCACAUAAUGGAUGUAAACUGCUGUUGCCAAAUGAGGGGGUGAAUAUUAUCGUUGCCAAACAAAGAUGUGAAUUUGUUUACAGCAGAGCCAGGCCUUUUAGAGCAGAGAAACAAAACCAUGGUGCCAUCCGGUGCAGCCCCAGAGCCAAUUUCAUUAAGCAUUUGACGCCAAGCUUAAACAGUGGCAGAUGUUGAUGUUUUUCUUGGGCUUUAGAAAUGUCUAAGGUAAAAAUAGAAUAAGAUAUAUACGGUUGUGUCUAAAUGGUGUCAAAUAGCCUAAGCUGAAAUGAGUAUAUAUACACAGUACAUACUAUAUUAUCAUAGUAAAAACCGUAUAUUCCUUAUGUAAUAUGUAAAGGCUUUGUUUACAAACAUUAUAUGGCCUAGUAUUCUUACCAAAAUAACAAUGGCAAGGAAGUCACUGAAAACCAUGAGCAAAGUUUCAUGAGUCAUAACCCAAUGAUUUUAUAAUCUUUGUCAGUGUCUGGAAGUGGCUUAUGAAAGGGUGUGUUGUAAUCCUUAUAACCAAGUGCUGCUACUUUAAAUGGCAGAAACUGGAUUUGAAGGUCUUUGAGUCUUGUGUUAAAAUGCAUUUUAUAUGGAUAUUUCUCUUGAGGAACCCACUUUCCACUUCAAAGUCAUGAUGGCUUUUGUACGGUUGAAUAAUAAAGUAUUCAUG